rnacentral:rRNA from 1 species
AACGAACGCUGGCGGCAGGCCUAACACAUGCAAGUCGAGCGCCCCGCAAGGGGAGCGGCGGACGGGUGAGUAACGCGUGGGAACGUACCCUUUGCUACGGAAUAGCCUCGGGAAACUGGGAGUAAUACCGUAUGUGCCCUUCGGGGGAAAGAUUUAUCGGCAAAGGAUCGGCCCGCGUUGGAUUAGGUAGUUGGUGGGGUAAGGGACUACCAAGCCGACGAUCCAUAGCUGGUUUGAGAGGAUGAUCAGCCACACUGGGACUGAGACACGGCCCAGACUCCUACGGGAGGCAGCAGUGGGGAAUCUUAGACAAUGGGCGCAAGCCUGAUCUAGCCAUGCCGCGUGAGCGAUGAAGGCCUUAGGGUUGUAAAGCUCUUUCAGGGGGGAAGAUAAUGACUGUACCCCCAGAAGAAGCCCCGGCUAACUCCGUGCCAGCAGCCGCAGUAAAAC